rnacentral:ncRNA from 1 species
GCACUUCGUUCUGAUGCUAAAUUAGCUUUGGCUUCUAAACUACAUAUGGUAACUUAACGUACUUUGUGAAUAAUCUACCGAUUAGGGGAAAUGUUUAACACACUCAACCUGAACCUUAGAAAAGGGUGCUUUUACCUAAGGGAAUAACCCACAACACCAAUGCAUUAUAUUGUCUACAGCUAGGAAACUAGGCAACAAAGAUUGCCGCUCACAAGUGGCUAACUAAGGUGCCAGCAGCCGCGGUUACACCUAAACUUGAAGUUAAUUCCCCCAAAAAAGAGGUCUAUAUAACUGAUCCCAAUUUCAAUUGAAAAGUUAAAAUUUAAACUUUUAGAAAAAUAUCCUAACAGAUCUUAUUAUUCCCCUCAACAAACCACAACUACAAGACAGGGAUUAGAUACCCCAUUAUUGAGUGGCUCUACAACAAUAAAUACUAAAAACGAAAGUUUAAAACUUAAAGAACGUGGCGGUGUUCUACAUCCUUAUUAGGGGAUCCUGUGGCUUAAUUCGAUAAUCCACGACUAAUUGAAGCUUUAUUAGUUCACAGCUUAUGUAUGGCCGUAUUAAGUCUGCACAUUAACAUAAUAAAAGGAGACACUUAAAGACAUACUUUCCUAAUUCAGGUGACAUAUAGCCUAUAUAAAGCAGCUUAUGGGAUACAAAUAAUUAUUCUUAUCAGAAAGUAGUUUGAAAAUUCUACCAAAGGAGGACUUAAAAGUAAGUUUAAAACAAAAUUUCAAACUGAACCAGAUCUAGAAUGCGCACAAAUCGCCCGUCACUCCUGGUCACUAAUCAGGAUAAGUCGUAACACAGUAGGGGUAACGGAAGUUGCCCCUAUAAC